UACAGGGGGGGCAAGCGUUGUUCGGAAUUACUGGGCGUAAAGAGCUCGUAGGCGGCCAACUAAGUCCGACGUGAAAUCCCAAAGCUUAACUUUGGAACUGCGUCGGAUACUGGAUGGCUUGAAUUCGAGAGAGGGAUGCAGAAUUCCAGGUGUAGCGGUGAAAUGCGUAGAUAUCUGGAGGAAUACCGGUGGCGAAGGCGGCAUCCUGGACCGACAUUGACGCUGAGGAGCGGAAGCUAGGGGAGCAAACGGG
rnacentral:rRNA from 1 species